GCCUCCCGGACACAGGCCUGGUACAGAGCCUCCGCCUCAUGCGCCUGGGGAAACCAAGGCUUAAGUGGUUGGGAGUUAGAGAGAGGUCCAAGUACAUGAGCAGAAAGUUACGUGAUCGAUCGAUCAUCCCAUCUUUUCUUCAGGAACCCAGACAUCCUGAGGUUUUAUUCUUGAGAAACACCCAUCCUGACGAUUCUAUUGGUGUACUUUUUCAAUUAAAAAUUUUUAUUAUCGCUG